UAAUACGGAGGGGGCGAGCGUUGUUCGGAUUUAUUGGGCGUAAAGAGCAUGUAGGUGGUUAUCUAAGUCAGACGUGAAAUCCCUUGGCUCAACCAAGGCCGAGCGCCUGAAACUGGGUAACUUGAGUACAGGAGAGGAGAGUGGAAUUCCUGGUGUAGCGGUGAAAUGCGUAGAUAUCAGGAGGAACACCGGUGGCGAAGGCGACUCUCUGGCCUGAUACUGACACUGAGAUGCGAAAGCUAGGGGAGCGAACGGGAUUAGAUACCCCGGUAGUCCUAGCCGUAAACGAUGGGCACUGGGUGUAGGAGGUAUUUAUUCCUUCUGUGCCGUAGCUAACGCGUUAAGUGCCCCGCCUGGGGAGUACGGCCGCAAGGCUG
rnacentral:rRNA from 1 species